UAGGGAAUAUUGGACAAUGGGUGCGAGCCUGAUCCAGCCAUGCCGCGUGCAGGAAGAAGGCUUUCUGAGUAGUAAACUGCUUUUGUCAGAGGAUAAAAAGCCCAUGCGUGGGAAAUUGAAGGUACCUGGUGAAUAAGCCACGGCUAACUACGUGCCAGCAGCCGCGGUAAUACGUAGGUGGCAAGCGUUGUCCGGAUUUAUUGGGUUUAAAGGGUGCGUAGGCGGUUUUAUAAGUCAGUGGUGAAAUCCGGCAGCUAAACUGUGGGUGUGCCAUUGAUACUGUAGAACUUGAGUACUGAUGGGGUAGGGGAAAUUGACGGUGUAGCGGUGAAAUACUUAGAUAUCGUCAAGAACACCGAUAGCAAAGACAGCUUACUAGGCAGUAACUGACGCUGGGGCACGAAAGUGUGGGGAUCAAAC
rnacentral:rRNA from 1 species